UGUUAUACUUGUUAUAAAAUAAUCAAUGCCUGAUUAGUAAAAGUUAUGUGCUCUAAAUUCAAAGAAUUUGGCGGCUUUUUAACCUUGUUAGGGGAACCUGUUUUUUAAGCGACAGUCCACGUAGUAUCUUGCCUAUUUUAAAUAGUUUGUAUACCGUCAUUUAGAUAACUUUUAUAGAAAAAGUUAUUGAAAUAAUUUUAUGUAGUUAAGAUGUUAGAUCAAGGUGCAGCAUAUGAAUAGGCUAAAAUGGGUUACAAUAAAAUUUGUUUAUAACGGAAAAAACUUUGAAUAAUGUUUNUAAGGAGGACUUUAAAGUAAAACUAGUUAAUAAGAUA
rnacentral:rRNA from 1 species